GACGAACGCUGGCGGCGUGCUUAACACAUGCAAGUCGAGCGGUAAGGCCUUUCGGGGUACACGAGCGGCGAACGGGUGAGUAACACGUGGGUGACCUGCCUUUAGCUUCGGGAUAAGCCUGGGAAACUGGGUCUAAUACCGGAUAUGACCUCAUGUCGCAUGGUGUGGGGUGGAAAGUUUUUCGGCUAGAGAUGGGCCCGCGGCCUAUCAGCUUGUUGGUGGGGUGAUAGCCUACCAAGGCGACGACGGGUAGCCGGCCUGAGAGGGCGACCGGCCACACUGGGACUGAGAUACGGCCCAGACUCCUACGGGAGGCAGCAGUGGGGAAUAUUGCGCAAUGGGCGGAAGCCUGACGCAGCGACGCCGCGU
rnacentral:rRNA from 1 species